CUUGCUUCUCUUGAGAGCGGCGGACGGGUGAGUAAUGCCUAGGAAUCUGCCUGGUAGUGGGGGAUAACGUCCGGAAACGGACGCUAAUACCGCAUACGUCCUACGGGAGAAAGCAGGGGACCUUCGGGCCUUGCGCUAUCAGAUGAGCCUAGGUCGGAUUAGCUAGUUGGUGGGGUAAUGGCUCACCAAGGCGACGAUCCGUAACUGGUCUGAGAGGAUGAUCAGUCACACUGGAACUGAGACACGGUCCAGACUCCUACGGGAGGCAGCAGUGGGGAAUAUUGGACAAUGGGCGAAAGCCUGAUCCAGCCAUGCCGCGUGUGUGAAGAAGGUCUUCGGAUUGUAAAGCACUUUAAGUUGGGAGGAAGGGCAGUAAAUUAAUACUUUGCUGUUUUGACGUUACCGACAGAAUAAGCACCGGCUAACUCUGUGCCAGCAGCCGCGGUAAUACAGAGGGUGCAAGCGUUAAUCGGAAUUACUGGGCGUAAAGCGCGCGUAGGUGGUUCGUUAAGUUGGAUGUGAAAUCCCCGGGCUCAACCUGGGAACUGCAUUCAAAACUGACGAGCUAGAGUAUGGUAGAGGGUGGUGGAAUUUCCUGUGUAGCGGUGAAAUGCGUAGAUAUAGGAAGGAACACCAGUGGGCGAAGGCGACCACCUGGACUGAUACUGACACUGAGGUGCGAAAGCGUGGGGAACAAACAGGAUUAGAUACCCUGGUAGUCCACGCC
rnacentral:rRNA from 1 species